rnacentral:rRNA from 1 species
GGGUCAGUAGGUUGGUCGUGCCACCGGUACGUACUGGUCUCACUGAUUCCUCCUUCCUGAAGAACCGUAAUGCCAUUAAUUCGGUGUUGCGGGGAAUCAGGACUGUUACUUUGAAAAAAUUAGAGUGUUUAAAGCAAGCUAACGCUUGAAUACAUUAGCAUGGAAUAAUGAAAUAGGACGAUCGAUCCUAUUUUGUUGGUUUCUAGGAUUGACGUA